CGAUAACGAACGAGACCUUAACCUGCUAAAUAGCCCGUAUUGCUUUGGCAGUACGCCGGCUUCUUAGAGGGACUAGCGGCUCAAGCCGAUGGAAGUUUGAGGCAAUAACAGGUCUGUGAUGCCCUUAGAUGUUCUGGGCCGCACGCGCGCUACACUGACGGAGCCAGCGAGUACUCCCUUGGCCGGAAGGCCCGGGUAAUCUUGUUAAACUCCGUCGUGCUGGGGACAGAGCAUUGCAAUUAUUGCUCUUCAACGAGGAAUCCCUAGUAAGCGCAAGUCAUCAGCUUGCGUUGAUUACGUCCCUGCCCUUUGUACACACCGCCCGUCGCUACUACCGAUUGAAUG
rnacentral:rRNA from 1 species